ensembl:snRNA U5 U5 spliceosomal RNA
UGCUCUUGUUUCUCUUCAGAUCGUAUAAAUCUUUCGCCUUUUACUAAAGAUUUCCGUGGAGAGGAACAACAAGAGUUCAUUUUAAUUUUUUGAUGCCCUGCUAAACUGCGGGGCU